GGCGAACGCUGGCGGCGUGCUUAACACAUGCAAGUCGAACGGAAAUUCCCUGCUUUUGUGGGGUGCUCGAGUGGCGAACGGGUUAGUAACACGUGAGUAACCUUCCCUUGACUUUGGGAUAACUUCAGGAAACUGGGGCUAAUACCGGAUAGGAGCUCCUGCUGCAUGGUGGGGGUUGGAAAGUUUCGGCGGUUUGGGAUGGACUCGGGGCUUAUCAGCUUGUUGGUGGGGUAGUGGCUUACCAAGGCUUUGACGGGUAGCCGGCCGGGGAGGGUGACCGGCCAAAUUGGGAAUAGGGAAGGGGCAAGAGCCCAACGGGAGGAAAGGGGGGGAAAAAUAGGAAAAUGGGCGGAGGGCGGAAGGAAGAACGCCGGGGGGGGGAAGACGGCUUUGGGGGUGGAAACCGCUUUAGACUGAGAGGAAGGGGGGGGAAGGGAAAUGGGUAAAAAAGCACGGGUAAACAAGGG
rnacentral:rRNA from 1 species